rnacentral:rRNA from 1 species
GUCUAUGGCCAUACCACCCUGAAUGCACCCAAUCACGUCUAAUCUCAGAAGCUAAGCAGGGUUGGGCCUGGUUAGUACUUGGACGGGAGUCCACCUGGCAAUACGGGGUGCUAAAAGCU